GUAACAAGGUUUCCGUAGGUGAACCUGCGGAAGGAUCAUUACUGAGUGCGGGCUGCCUCCGGGCGCCCAACCUCCCACCCGUGAAUACCUAACACUGUUGCUUCGGCGGGGAACCCCCUCGGGGGCGAGCCGCCGGGGACUACUGAACUUCAUGCCUGAGAGUGAUGCAGUCUGAGUCUGAAUAUAAAAUAUUAGUCAAAACUUUCAACAAUGGAUCUCUUGGUUCCGGCAUCGAUGAAGAACGCAGCGAACUGCGAUAAGUAAUGUGAAUUGCAGAAUUCAGUGAAUCAUCGAGUCUUUGAACGCACAUUGCGCCCCCUGGCAUUCCGGGGGGCAUGCCUGUCCGAGCGUCAUUGCUGCCCAUCAAGCCCGGCUUGUGUGUUGGGUCGUCGUCCCCCCCGGGGGACGGGCCCGAAAGGCAGCGGCGGCACCGUGUCCGGUCCUCGAGCGUAUGGGGCUUUGUCACCCGCUCGACUAGGGCCGGCCGGGCGCCAGCCGACGUCUCCAACCAUUUUUCUUCAGGUUGACCUCGGAUCAGGUAGGGAUACCCGCUGAACUUAAGCAUAUCAAUAAGCGGAGGAAAAGAAACCAACCGGGAUUGCCUCAGUAACGGCGAGUGAAGCGGCAAGAGCUCAAAUUUGAAAUCUGGCCCCUCCGGGGUCCGAGUUGUAAUUUGCAGAGGAUGCUUCG
rnacentral:misc_RNA from 1 species